rnacentral:lncRNA from 1 species
GAGAACUCCAGACUACUGAUGUAGAUGUGUGAGGGUGUCCCCACAGUUUGCCUCCGGGGACUCUUGGCCUGGAGUGACCUUCCUUUUUGGGGGUAGAUGAGCUUCCGGAAAGCCUGCCGUGCAGCCCUGAAACCUCGGAGCUGUGCCAGAUGGCUCUUGCCUCGGUGACGUUGAUGUCAUGAUGCCGCCAGCCUGGGGAGUGACGCGGCCAGAAACAGGAAGGUGCAGAGGCCCCUGGCACAGAGUAGGUGUGCCGUGAACACUGGCUGCCUAUAGCUGACAUCAGGACAGGCGACCCAGUGUGCCCGGGGCCACCGCCCGGCCCCCAGCCCCCAGCCACAGCCCUGCCGCUGAGACCUCGGGGCUUCCCUUUCCCCACCUCUCAGGUGAUGUAGUGAGGGGCAUGAGGACGGUGUGAAGCAGGAGGGUAGGAGUUGUGCCCGCUGGAACCCCCACGCCUCCGGACCUGCCCCUCUGCUCCGAGGGUGGACGGGUCCUGUUCAGGUAGGGGCCCAAAGGGGGAGGCACCGGGCUGGCUGGGAAAGUGAGGACGAGGAAGCAGCUGGGAAUAAGCCCUGGGAGGCUCCAUUGGGGUUUGGCCCCUUCCUGAGGUGUAGAAGAGGGGAGUGGAGGAGAACUGGGGAUGACCGUGUCAGGUCGCCCAUGGUGCGGGGAGGUGCUGAGGUGAUGGUCCAGGGGGUGAACCGUGGCAUCUCCAGCAGACCCCGCAGGGGCCCAAGGAGAGAAAUGCCAGAAUUGGCAAGGGACCCAGGCAGACAGGAGCUGCAGAUGGGGCACCAGCAGCAGUGAUGAGCUCAGGGGAAAUGGAGUGAAAGCCGGAAGCUUACAGCAGCGCCUACCUGGAGGGGCCUUGUGGCUGGGAUGGGGUCCUAGGGAGCACACAGGGCAUCAAGCACCAGGGCCCUGGGCCAGGAACCCGCUCCUGUGGUUCCUUACAGGAACCAGUAAGCCGAGCAGGAGGAGGCCAGAUCAGGAAGGGGCUUGAGGGUCUUCCAAGGUUGGAGUGGGCAAGGGUCCAGGGAGGAGGAGAGGCGGUAAAGCCAGACUGGAUGGUGACAUAACCCCGGGGGAGCAGCUGUGGCUGCUGCUGGAGGGAGCCGAGGGAACCCAAGAGGCGUCCUAGAGAAGAAUUCGGAAGGGAUGCGCCGGUGGGGGCAGACCCCGAGUGGUGCAGGGACUCGGGUGGACGCCCGCGCUGGCCCCGGCCUUCGCUCAGGAGGACACCAGCCUGCGGCAGCUGGCUCCGUUUUAUCUUCCAAGGUGGAAAUGGCUUUGCAGUUUAUGGCCAUUUCUAGGGUUGCCGGAUGUAGCAAAUAAAAGUACACAUGUUGUAUGGGACAUCUUCACACUAAAAAGUUACUUAUUUGAAAUUUGAAGUUUAUCUGGGUAUACCGUAUUUCCUCUAGCAAAUGUAACCAUAACAGGUAUAAAUAAUCCAGCUAACACGAAAAUAAAAAGUGAGAACUGUCUACAAUCCCACCCCAAAAGGGUAAUCUCGAAAGCAAUUCGAUGUGUAUCUUGCCCAGGUUUUUUUUUUUUUUUUUAAUGUUUAUUUUUGAGAGAGAGAGAGAGAGAGACCGGGCAUGAGCAGGGGAGGGGCAGAAAGAGAGAGGGAGACAGAAUCCGAAGCGGGCUCCAGGCUCCGAGCUGUCAGCACAGAGUCCGACGUGGGGCCCGAGCCCACAAACCGCGAGAUCGUGACCUGAGCCGAAGGCAGGCACUUAACUAACUGAGCCCCCCAGGUGCCCCUUGCCCAGGGUUUUCAUACAAGCUUGCAGAUCAAAAGAACAAAAAAGAUUUUGCUCUAUGUACUCUUCUCUAAUCUGAUUUCACUUAACGAAACACCUAUUUCCAUGUGAAAUCAGCCCAGCUGUGUCCAGCUCCCUGUCUGGAACCGUUCUCGGAGAAGCCGGCCUGCUCUGACACCGCGGUGGGUCCCUCCGGUCAUUUCAUCAGAAAACAUGCUUAGCAGUGGAAUUUUUUUAAUUGAAGAUUUUAUGGAGAUAGUUACAGACUCCUACGCGAUUCCAGGAAAUAAUGCUGAAGGACCCCUGGUACAGGUGAGCUAGACCUACCCAAUGGUAACUAACGUUCUUUAAAAGGAUAGCGGGAGAAUCACAGCCAGAAUAGUGACGCUGAUAUGGUUCACUGACUUUGUUCCAAUUUCCCCAGUUUUACUUGUCCUAAUGUAUGCAUCAAAUUCUGUACGUUUAUUUUUAUUUUUUUUAAUAUUUAUUUCUGAGAGACAGAGUGAGACAGAGCAUGAGCAGGGAAGGGACAGAGAGAGAGAGACAGAAUCUGAAGCCAGCUCCAGGCUCUGAGCUGUCAGCACAGAGCCCAACACGGGGCUCGAACUCAUGAACCGUGAGAUCAUGACCUGAGCCGAAGUUGGACGCUCAACCGACCGAGCCACCCAGGCACCUCUUACUUCCCCGUUUUAAAAGUUGUAUUUAGUUGGAUGUACAGAGAGAGAUGAGUCCACAUCAUCUACUCUUGAACCAGAAGUCCCUGGUGUUAUUUUUUCGUUUUACUUAUGUAACUAUUUCUUCAAUGUAUUUUUACAACCGCUUUUUUAAGAUAUAAUUCACAUACCAUACAAUUCACUCAUUUAAAAUGUACAAUUUAAAGGUUUGUAGUGUAUGUGUGGGGUUGUGAAACCCGCACCACUCAAUCUUAGAACACCAUCAUCCCCAAAGAAACCCCAUACCCAUUAAAAGUCAGUCCCCAUUUCUUCCUCCCCUGAGGCCCGACAACCACAGAUAUGCUUUCUGUGUCUAUAGAUUGGCCUAUCAUUGACAUUUCACAUAAAUGGAAUCAUUCAAUAUGUGGCCUGUGGGCAUCUUUCCUUUGCGUAAUGUUUUCAAGAUUCAUCCAUGUAAUUUCAGUACUUUGUUCCUUUGUUUGUGGACACAUAACAUUUUAUCUGUCUGUUCAUCAGUUGAUGGCCAUUUGGUUUAUUUUCACUUACUGACUAUCGUGAAUAACAUUGCUG